UACGUAGGGUGCAAGCGUUAAUCGGAAUUACUGGGCGUAAAGCGUGCGCAGGCGGCUUUGCAAGACAGAUGUGAAAUCCCCGGGCUCAACCUGGGAACUGCAUUUGUGACUGCAUGGCUAGAGUGCGGCAGAGGGGGAUGGAAUUCCGCGUGUAGCAGUGAAAUGCGUAGAUAUGCGGAGGAACACCGAUGGCGAAGGCAAUCCCCUGGGCCUGCACUGACGCUCAUGCACGAAAGCGUGGGGAGCGAACAGG
rnacentral:rRNA from 1 species